CUAAGGCUAACGGUGGAUGCCUUGGCGGAUUGGGCCGAUGAAGGACGCGUGCUAGAGCGCGAUAUCAACGGUGAGUUCUCAAGCAAACGCUAUUAGCCGUUGGUUUCCGAAUGGGGAAACCCGCUCUGGUGUUAAGCCGGAGCGCCCGCCGUUUUAGGCGGGCGGGAACCCGGGGAACUGAAACAUCUUAGUACCCGGAGGAAGAGAAAUCAAUAUUACCCGUCGUUUUAGGCGGGUAGAGAUUCUGUAAGUAGCGGCGAGCGAAAGCGGAAGAGCCUAAACCCGUCGUUUUAGGCGGGGGUUGCGGGACUUAUCAUAACAAGAUGUUUUUGAUAGGAGAAUGUUUUGGAAAAAACAGCCAAAGAAGGUGAAAGCCCUGUAUCCGAAAUCAAAAACAUCUUAAGAUAAGAUUCCCAAGUACCACGGGACACGGGAAACCCUGUGGGAAGCUGGGGAGGUCACUCUCCAAGGCUAAAUACCCAAUCCGACCGAUAGUGAACCAGUACCGUGAGGGAAAGGUGAAAAGUCCCCCGUUGAGGGGAGUGAAAUAGAACCUGAAACCGUUAGCUAACAAGCAGUGGGAGCCCGCCUAAUUCGGCGGGUGACCGCGUGCCUAUUGAAGAAUGAGCCAGCGAGUUUUCGGUUAGUGCAAGCUUAAUUCCGCAGGGCGGAAGUAGGCGUAGCGAAAGCGAGUCUGAAUAAGGCGCAUGCACAUCGGCAACGAUGUGUUAGUACUAGCCGAAAGACCCGAAACCGGGUGAUCUAACCAUGGGCAGGGUGAACUUCGACGAAAAUCGAAGGGAGGCCCGCACCCGUUACUGACGAAAUAGUAUGGGACGACCUGUGGUUAGGGGUGAAACGCUAAACGAACCCGGAGAUAGCUGGUUCUCCCCGAGAUAUAUUUAGGUAUAGCCUCUUUGAGUAGCAAAGGGGGGUAGAGCUACUGGAUAUCUGCAGGAGCCAUUAGGUGACUGUAGAUAACCAAACUCCGAAUACCCUUUGUGAAAUCAAAGGGAGUCGGUCAUGCCGGGAUAAGCUGGUGUGGCGAGAGGGAAACAACCCAGAUCUCCAACUAAGGCUCUUAAAUGAUUCCUAAGUGGUAAAGGUCGUUUAAUUUCCAAGACAGCAGGGAGGUUGGCUUAGAGGCAGCCAUCCUUUAAAGAGUGCGUAACAGCUCACCUGAAUAUUUCCGAUGCAUAUCGGAAUGGAGAUUAAGCGCCAAAAAUGAACGGAUCUUAAGGAAUCUGCCGAAGUUGAGGCCCGCUGUUUUAGGCGGGGGUAGGGGAGCGUUCUUGUUGCGUUGAAGCUCAGAUGUGAGUCUGGGUGGAGCGGCAAGAAGCGAGAAUGCUGGCAUGAGUAGCGAUUCUCCCGUCGAGAAAACGGGACGCCGGAAGCCCAAGGUUUCCUUAGCAAUGUUAAUCAGCUAAGGGUUAGUCGAGGCCUAACCCUAAACCACUUCGGGUUUAGGGGAUGGAUAAGCGGUUAAUAUUCCGCUACCUCUGAUAAAGCGUUAUUACUUAAUUAGUGCGAGAUUUGAAGAUUCCAGCUUUGCUGCCCUUAUGGGUUAAGCAAAGUCUAAACCUCAAGUCAGCUUUGCUGGCAAGAGGUGAUGGGGACUCUGAUUUUAUCAGAGGACUGGAAGUCUUUAAAUCUCCGGGAAAAGCUAAUUUAAGGAGUUUUAUCAGAGCUCGUACCGCAAACCGACACAGGUGGGUUGGUGGAGUACACCGAGGCGUUCGGGAAAGAGUGGUUUAAGGAACUCGGCAAAAAAGCUAGGCGUAACCUUUGGGAGAAGCCUUGCCUCCAGUUGUCGGGGCCGCAGCUAAAGUUUGCCAACCGACUGUUUAUCAAAAACACAGCUCCCUGCUAACCUGAAAAAGGGAUGUAUAGGGGGUGAAGCCUGACCAGUGCCGGUAGGUUAAGCGCUGGGGUUGAUUUCCGAUCUUUUAAUCGGAAUGAGGCUCUAGUGUAAGCCCUGGUAAACGUCAGCCCUAACCCUGAGGGUUCUAAGGUAGCGUAAUCCCUUGUCGGGUAAGUUCCGACCUGCAUGAAAGGCCCAACGAGUUGGCAACUGUCUUAAACCACUCCUCGGCGAAAUUGAAAUGGCUGUGAAGAUGCGGCCUACUUACACCAGGACAAACAGACCCCGGGAGCUUUACUGGAUCCAGAUAUUGGUGUUGAUGCAGUAACUGUUUAGCGUAGGAGGGACCUACCGUUUUAGGUAGGGCCAAUGAAACACCUCUCUUUACUGUAUUAACGCCUAACUCCAACUUUUUGGGGGACAGUGUUUGGUGGCCAGUUUAACUGGGACGGUUGCCUCCUAAAGAGUAACGGAGGCGUACAAAGGUCGGCUUGCGCCGGAUGGAAAUCGGCGUGUAAGCGCAAGGGUAUAAGCCGGCUUGACUGCGAGGCUGACCAGCCGAGCAGAGUCGAAAGACGGUCCUAGUGAUCCUCGAUCCCGUUGUGAUUGCGGGACGGGCUUAACGGAUAAAAGUUACCCCGGGGAUAACAGGCUAGUCGGACCCGAGAGUUCAUAUCGACGGUCCGGUUCGGCACCUCGAUGUCGGCUCAUCCCAUCCUGGAGCUGGAGCAGGUUCCAAGGGUCGGGCUGUUCGCCCGUUAAAGGGGUACGUGAGCUGGGUUCAGAACGUCGUGAGACAGUUCGGACUCUAUCCGGUGUAAGCGUUUUGACUCUUGAGGGGGGACUUUCCUAGUACGAGAGGACCGGAAAGUGGAGAUCCCUGGUGUACCGGUUGUUCCAAAAGAGCAGCGCCGGGUAGCUAUAUCUCUAACUGAUAAGCACUGAAAGCAUCUAAAGUGUGAAGCAGACCCCAAGAUUAGGAAUCCAUCCGCCUUUAGGCGGGGCAGCCAUCCCGUAGAUUACGGGAUUAAUAGGCCUCAGGUGUAUGCCGAGA
rnacentral:rRNA from 1 species